UAUCCAGAGGAACGCCAGUAGCGAAGGCGGUUUCCUGGCUUGUUUCUGACACUGAGGCACUAAAGCUAGGGGAGCGAUCGGGAUUAGAGACCCCGGUAGUCCUAGCCCUAAACGAUGGGUACUAAGUGUGGGGGGAGCAUUACCCUCUGUGCUGAAGCUAACGCGUUAAGUACCCCGCCUGGGGAGUACGGUCGCAAGGCUGAAACUCAAAAGAAUUGACGGGGGGCUGAACAAGCAGUGGAGCACGUGGUUUAAUUCGACGCAAAGCGAAGAACCUUACCAGGGCUUGACAUGCUAGUAGUAGUGAUCCGAAAGGUGAGCCAUCUGAGCUUCGGCUUGGAAGCUAGCACAGGUGGUGCAUGGUUGUCGUCAGCUCGUGCCGUGAGGUGUCGGGUUAAGUCCUUUAACGAGCGCAACCCUUGUCCUUAGUUGCCAGCGGUUUGGCCGGGCACUCUAAGGAGACCGCCGCCUAAAAGCGGAGGAAGGUGGGGACGACGUCAAAUCAUCACGCCCCUUAUGUCCUGGGCUACACACGUGCUACAAUGGUUAUGAUAAAGGGAAGCAAAGGAGCGAUCCUGAGCCAAUCCCCAAAAGUAACCUCAGUUCGGAUUGCAGGCUGCAAUUCGCCUGCAUGAAGUUGGAAUUGCUAGUAAUCGUGGAUCAGCUACGCCACGGUGAAUACGUUCUCAGCCCUU
rnacentral:rRNA from 1 species